AAAGAAACCAACAGGGAUUGCCCCAGUAACGGCGAGUGAAGCGGCAAGAGCUCAAAUUUGAAAGCUGACUCCUUCGGGGUCCGCAUUGUAAUUUGCAGAGGAUGCUUCGGGAGCGGUCCCCAUCUAAGUGCCCUGGAACGGGACGUCAUAGAGGGUGAGAAUCCCGUAUGGGAUGGGGUGUCCGCGCCCGUGUGAAGCUCCUUCGACGAGUCGAGUUGUUUGGGAAUGCAGCUCUAAAUGGGUGGUAAAUUUCAUCUAAAGCUAAAUAUUGGCCGGAGACCGAUAGCGCACAAGUAGAGUGAUCGAAAGAUGAAAAGCACUUUGAAAAGAGAGUUAAAAAGCACGUGAAAUUGUUGAAAGGGAAGCGCUUGCGACCAGACUCGCUCGCGGGGUUCAGCCGGCAUUCGUGCCGGUGUAUUUCCCCGCGGGCGGGCCAGCGUCGGUUUGGGCGGUCGGUCAAAGGCCCUCGGAAGGUAACGACCCCAGGGGCGUCUUAUAGCCGAGGGUGCAAUGCGACCUGCCUAGACCGAGGAACGCGCUUCGGCUCGGACGCUGGCAUAAUGGUCGUAAAGCGACCCGUCUUGAAACAC
rnacentral:rRNA from 1 species